AAAUAAACAUUCAAUUUCAUUUAUUUGUCUGUUUUCAGGCGUUCUAUCACACUGAUACUACUUGAUCGUCUUAUGCGCACUUCGGGCUGCGGGGUGAGACGUCGGUAGUUACACAAUCUCUUAACAUUCCAAGUGAUCUUCGAAUGCAAUCAUGUCAUGCAAUAUGCGAUCUUAAAGUAAUAUAGAAUUCGUGCGUUGUUUGCAUGUUAUUGUUUUCGGGUUUAUCAACAUCACCUCAACACCGAACUUUUUGUGCGCAAGUCCGGCGCAGGAAGCGGCGCAGGGAAACAAGUUAACGUUCUUCCGCAACGCACGCUCAGCAUCAUCAUUCAGUGCGCGACAUUGUCUGCAGUUACACCUCCGCUAAUAAAAUUGUCAAUAAUUUAUUAAAUCAGUAAAAAAGUGUUGCUACCAAGUGAAAAACAUUCCUCGAGGCACUCACAAGUAAGUUUCUUGCAUUAUUUUCAUUUGCGCCUUUUUAUUAAAUCUGUAAUUUGUAACAUUUGCACGCGACAUUGUUUUAUGCGGCGUUAGACGCGUGUUUGCAAUAUGGCCGCGAUUCAAACGUCGUUUUCACGUUCGCAACCACCAAGUUGCGUCAUCACAUAAAUCAAAUCAUGUACUUGCAAUGCGUCUAAUUGGAAUAUUCGGAUGUAAUUUUAUUGUGCAAUCGACAUGUGGUAUGGGGUGAUCGCAGUUUCACCUUCUCGAAGUGUACGCGGCGAAGUUAUCAGCUGUUUGUUUGCUUUUCACAUGUUUCAAACGGUAACUUUGCGGCAGUAGAGUGCCAAUUGUGCAGCACUGCUAACACAAAGAGACGCCAUGUUGUUGUUUUGAAUUUAACAUUCCAACACCAUUCGGCACUGCUGAUAACGCACUCUUAUUUUUAUUUUCUAGCGUUACAUUUAUCAUUUACUUAUUCUUUAGUAUUUUGUUACAUUUUAAUUCUGUUUUAUUUUCUGUUUAUUGCGUGCGACGUUGUUGAUGGUGCAUUACGAUCGGUUUCUCAAUCCACUUCUUGAAAACGUUCCUGUUUUCCAUCGCAGGCAUAUGACAUUUCAAGGUCACCCACAAGAUGUCCAGAAUUAGUCUUACUUUCCCAAGAAUGGAAAAAGGUACAUAUUCGAUAUAUUGGGGCAUUUUUGUAAUUCGGGCGCGUUCGUUUUCGGUUUAUGUACUUUUUGUGUCUACUAAUAUUUCACACCUUCAUGUUUUAACUAACUACCUCUUAAUAUCAUUAUUACUUUAUUAUUUUUUAAUUCUUUUAAUAUUCUUAUUUUUCAUAAUUUAAAAAAAUCCUUGCCAAUUUAGAUUAAUUUAUCAUUUAUUUAUUUUAUUCUUUAAAAAAAAUUUAGUUCCGAAUAUCUACCAAAUCAUCCUUACCCAGUAUUUUUAAUCUUUGUUUCGAUUCACAGGUAUAAGUGAUAAACGAUAUUCGCGAGAGACCUGGAGAGGUGUAACGAAAUACUCAUCGAGUGCGGGUCGCGACGCGUUUGAUUUAACCAUUUUAUUGAAUCGUGUUCAAUUAGCUACCGAAGGAGGGUCGUGCCUUGUCCCCUUUCACCUGUUAGGGAAAGUACGCAGUGUUUACAAAAAUGUAUCCGAAUAUUCGACAAAUCGAGUGCGGGACGCGAUUAAAAAUCCGAAAGUAUCGCGUAAUCCGUAUUGCACUAUUAAAGUGCGCGUUAAAAAUAAUUCCAAUUCCAUGAGGGUUUGUACGGGGCCUCAACGGACUGCAAGCAUCCUACCAGCGGUUUGGACUCAAGAUUGUAUUAUAAUAUCAACGCCAUAAGUAUAUUUGCCGUGCCUUGGAAUCGGAUGCGUUCUGCAUUGUUUACGGGAUAUUAGCAAUUGAAUGGGCGAAUGAGAAUCAGUUAUACAUUCAUCCACGUACGGUACCCUGAACACGAGUCACUUUUACCGCUAACCUCGUAAGGUGCCCCGAAUUGAGUCACUUCUACCGCUAGCCUCGUAUGGUGCCUCGAAUCGAGUCUCUUCUACCCCUAGCCUCGUAAGGUGCCCCGAAUCGAGUCUCUUCUACGGCUAGCAUUUCACAUACAAAUAUUUCACGCAAAAAGGGUGAAAAAGUCACCCGACAUCGUAGGAGAACCAUUCUUUCAUCAGAUUGUAGGGAUUUUACGCCUGAGCCCAUCAUCGUAGAAAGACCGUUCUUUCAUCAAAUUAGGUUUUACACCUGAGCCCGACUUCGUUAGAGCACCAUUAUUGAAUCAGAUUCGUGCGUAUCUCAACAGUGAUAGUGACCUCGUGUAGUUGCUGUCGGCUGUGCAACUCAAGGCAUGCGCAGUUCCAUUUUGGUUGUCGAGUGAAUCGCGCGUUUUCAUUGCGACUACUUUUUGUUCUUCCAAUCAUAAUUAGGUAAAUUGCGGAAUGUUCAAUUAACAAUUGACGAAAUUUACUGAAAUCGGAUGUGAAUGUUGUUUUUGCUAGUGAGAUAGCAUGCGAUGAAUGUUCAUCAAUCGCAGAGUUAUCGGUGGUUCAUAUAUGCGCGUUUGAUGUUCCGUCGGCCGUCGGUGAUUGUUUUUCGCUUGUGGAAUUACAUUGCACUCGGGUUAAGCCAUGUGUAAAUAACCUGCGUGUCCACACAAACUUAAUAAUAACUUGGAUUUAUGUUUAAUUAAUAUAAAUAAACAAUGUUGAUGCCUGUUGAAGAAGUUUAGGAGCACUUGUGCCAAGGAGUCUACCGCUUCCCUCGCAGAAAUAUUAGAGAUGCGUGUAUUACAAGGCAAGUUUUACUUUCAGGAGAUUAAAGAGCUGUCUAUGAUUUUCGAUUCUAAAAAAUGUAUGUAGUUAUUAAUGUUGCUAAUAAAACAUUAUGUAAUAU